rnacentral:rRNA from 1 species
GAAGGACCCAAGCGUUAUCCGGAUUUAUUGGGUUUAAAGGGUGCGUAGGCGGACUAUUAAGUCAGUGGUGAAAGCCCCCGGCCUAACCGGGGAACUGCCAUUGAUACUGAUGGUCUUGAGUACAUUUGAGGUGGGCGGAAUGUGUCAUGUAGCGGUGAAAUGCUUAGAUAUGACACAGAACACCGAUUGCGAAGGCAGCUCACUAAACUGUAACUGACGCUGAGGCACGAAAGCGUGGGGAGCAAACAGGAUUAGAUACCCUGGUAGUCCACGCCCUAAACGAUGAUCACUCGAUGUGUGCGAUACACUGUACGCGUCUGAGCGAAAGCAUUAAGUGAUCCACCUGGGGAGUACGGCCGCAAGGCUGAA